rnacentral:sRNA from 1 species
AACUAAAUAUUAAUAACUGGCAGGAAAGAAGUGAUCUUCGACUUCUUAAAAGAGGAAGAGACGAACUACUUAGAAGUGAAGGAAAAUUAAAACCAACCGAUAGAUGUACUCCAUCUUUUUCGCACCAGAAACAUGCAGGGGAACAAGAAACAAAAAUUCCGCUUGAUAGCCUCGUUUCCUCCAAAAUCGAUAGGCCACGCUUGUUUCUUGAUAGCCUCCAAAAUCUAUCAUCUCCUCGAUUUUGGAGGAAACGAGGCUAUCAAGCGUAAUUUUUGUUUCUUGUUCCCCUCCAUGUUUCUGGUGCGAGAAGAUGGAGUAAAUCUAUCUGUUAGUAUUUUAUCUCUUCCUCUUUUAAGAAGUCAAAGAUCGCUUCUUUCCUGCCAGUUAUUAAUAUUUAGUUUCCUAAUAUCUUAGAGUAUAUGUUACAAAACCAA